rnacentral:rRNA from 1 species
UACGGAGGGGGCAAGCGUUGUUCGGAAUCAUUGGGCGUAAAGGGCGCGUAGGUGGUUCUGUAUGUCUAUCGUGAAAGCGUACGGCUCAACCGUAUUUUGUCGGUAGAAACUGCAGGACUUGAGGCUGGGAGGGGCUGGUGGAAUUCCCUGUGUAGCGGUGAAAUGCGUAGAGAUGGGGGAGAACACUCGUGGCGAAGGCGGCCAGCUAGACCAGUUCUGACACUGAGGCGCGACAGCGUGGGGAGCAAACAGG